UUAUUAUAGUUAUGUAUGGCAGACUACAUUACUUAUUAGUAGAAAGUCCUCCAACACUAUCACUUAGAAUAAAAGCCAAGUCGCUUUCAUAUACAGGAAUUUACAAUGGUUUAGGAAGUAGAUCAGGCUGUGGUUUUAGAGUAUUGCAUUAUUCAUGAGAUGGUUAGCUAGAUCAGAACUCCCUAAUCAGAACCAUGACUUGGGUGUGAAAGCCCUUGCCCUAGGAGUGUAAAACCUCACACCUGGCUUCUAAGACUAUAGCUGACCUUAGAUAGGGCUGACUUUGUCUCAGUUGUUUUAUUGCCCAGUUGUUGCCAGUCUUUGUGUUUACAUUCCUCUGUUUUUUGUAAGAGUCAUUAAAUAUCUGGUAACCUCAUUUGUACCUUGCCGAUGUGUCACCUAACUUCCCUAUUUUCUUCUGUAUAAAAAGUUUGAUGCUCAAUUUGACAUUACAUUCAGAUUCUACACAAUCUUGCAUGUUGGUCUGUCUGUCAUUCGCCAACUCUUUGCCCACCUGUGACCAGAGACCCAUUCCACGCAGACAAAGGGACCCAGAAGGUCUGCGGCAAACCACAUGAGGCUCUAUUCGGGAAAAGCCAGAGCUCUGGAGACGACUCAUAUCCCACGCAGGGGUAGAGGAGUCGACCUCGAGGGGAAAGAGGUCCCAGUUUUUAUAGGCCCUCAGGGGGGAAAGAAGAAGGGGGAAGUAGGGGAUUUCCAGAUCUAAACCAUGUCUAUUCUCAAGAAAUGGGUAUGGGAGGGGUACAAGGAAAGAGUCUGGUGCAGGUGUAGCAACUCAGGAUUGGCCGGGCUGUGGUUGCUGGGGAGAUUUUCUGACUCUUUCUCAGCAACCAAUAUCACAAACACCUGGCAAUGGGCUUCAUCAGUGGGCACACACAUGGGUUCAAUAACGGUCAAAACAUUGGCAGACACAUGGGUUCAAGGAGUGGCCAGAGCAUUGUGCACGUCUAUUUUUCUAAAUCAGUGAAGCUACUUCUACUAACAAUGAAAUCUAUUUUGCCAAUUUCAGGGCUUCUGUGACCUUUUACAUUCUGUCAGGAUCUUUCAAAUAAAUUCAUCAUUUUUUUUUUGAAAAUUGGGAUACUGGACUGGGGCUCAGUAUGUGCACUCUUUGCCAAACCUAGUUAUCUGAGUUCUACUCCAGAAUUCAUGUAGUGAGAAGAGAGAACUGAGAUUCCUGAAAGUUCUUUUCUGACUUCCACAUGUGUUCUGUGUGUGUACCCAUGAACACACAGAGCACAUGAAAUGUGAUUUUUAAAAUGUUUAAACUGAGAUAUUGACAUAUCUCAUGAACCAUACAUGUCAGCCUUUAAAGUGGCUUUGCUUUGUUGUAUAGACUCUCCUCCCAUGCCAAGCAUUUUCUUCUCUUCCAUAAGUCCCUCAUACACAUGCGCAGCCUCUGCACAUCUCCACAGUGGAUUCACUUGCUGGUCACUUUGCUGGGGAGUCCUGAGCUCUUUACAUAUCCCAGCCACUAGAUCUCCUUAGAUACAAGAUUUGAACAUAUUUUCUACCAUUCUGUGGGUUGUCUCGACUUCAAAAAAAAAAAAAAAAAAAAAAAAAGCUCAAGUCUGUGAAUUACCUGCUUGCUUGCCUGCCUGUAUGUCUGCCACGUGUGUGCAGUGCCCGCAGAGGCUCCCUGGCACUGCAGUUAUAGGGACUGGAAAGCAUCACAUGGGUGCUGGUCACCAAGCCCUCGUCUUCUGAAAAGGCAGCCAGCAUCUUAGCCUCAGGACCAUCUUUUUGCCACUUCUUUUUGACAGUAUUCUUUCAAAGCACAAAUUUAAUUUUUUUUUACAAAUCAAAUCCAAUAUCUGUUUGUUUGUUUGUUUUAUUUUUUGCAGGUCAAAUUCAGAAAAUGGUUGACUGAUCCAAAGUCAUUAAGAUUUAUACCAAAAGCUAGGCACGGUGCCACCUGCCUUUAAUCCCGAUACUUGUGAAGUACAGGUAGACAGAUCUCUGAGUUCAAGGCCAACCUGGUCUACAAAGAGAGGACAGCCAAGGCUCAAAAAAUAAAAAUUAUUUAAAAAGUUAAGAAAAAGAAAAAGAUUUCUGCCUGUCUUCAUGUUAUGGCACUGUGGACUGAGCCCACAUAUAUCUUCUUGUAAGAGAUGUCUACUUUUACCUCUAAAUUUGGGGCCUUUGUUCAUUCUGAAUUAAUUUUUAAAUAUGGAACUGUUGUGGAUCCCUGACCAAUAACUCAUAGGGAGGUAUUUCAUGUGUGACACGGAGAGUUUUGUUUAACAACAUGUCUCGUGGGAGCAGCAUUGGUCACCCAUCCAUGCUAUUUCCAUUCAAACUCCUUUUCUUAAAGGAACCCUUAAGGGGUUCUGAUCUUGGUUAACCUACCCUAGCUCCCAGGCUCACCCACCCUCUUUUCCUCAUUUCCUAUCUACAGAGUGAGUUCCAGGACAGCCAGGGCUACACAGAGAAACGCUGUC
rnacentral:lncRNA from 1 species